GACAAUGGUUCCGGCAUGUGCAAAGCUCGCUUUCCUAGGAAUGACGCCCCCAGAGCUGUGUUUUCCUCCAUCUUUGGGUGUCUCCGGCACUAGAGCAUAAUGGUGGGCAUGGGCCAGGACUCCCACAUGGGUGAUGAGGCCCAGAGCAAGCAAGGCAUCCUGACCCUGAAGUACCCCAUCGAGCAUGACAUCAUCACCAACUGGGACGACACGGGGAUCUGGCACCUCACCUUCUACAACAAGCUGCACAUGGCCCCAGAGGAGCACCCGGUGCUGUUGACCAUGGCUCCCCUGAACCCCAAGGCCAACAGAGAGAAGAUGACUCAUCAUGUUCGAGAUCUUCAAUACUCGGGCCAUAUACAUGGCCAUCCAGGCCGUGCUGUCCCUCUACACCUCUCGGCAAACCACUGGCAUUGUCAUGGACUCUGGGGACUGGGUCACACACACGGUGCCCAUCUAUGAGGGCUAUGCCCUCCCCCACACCAUCCUGUGUCUGGACCUGGCUGGCCGGGACCUGACCCACUACCUCAUGAAGAUUCUCACUGAGUGUGGCUACAGCUUCACCACCUCGGCCGAGUGGGAGAUCAUGCACAACGUCAAGGAGAAGCUGUGCUACGUUGCCCUAGACUUCUAGCAGGAGAUGGCCACCGCUGCAUCCUCCUCUUCCCUGGAGAAGAGCUACGAGCUGCCCAAUGGUCAGCUCAUCACAAUCUGCAAUGAGUGGUUCCGGUGUCUGGAGGCACUGUUCCAGCCUUCCUUCCUGGGCAUGGAAUCUUGCGGCAUCCAUGAGACCACCAUCAACUCCUUCAUGAAGUACAAGACCACCAUCGACUCCUUCAUGGCACAAAGACCUGUGCCAACACGGUGCUGUCAGGCGGCACCACCAUGUACCCGGGCAUCGCCGACAGGAUGCAGAAGGAGAUCCCUGCCCUGGCACCCAGCACCAUGAAGAUCAAGAUCAUUGCACCCCCAGAGCACAAGUACUCGGUGUGGAUUGGCGGCUCCAUCCUGGCCUCACUGUCCACCUUCCAGCAGAUGUGGAUUAGCAAGCAGGAGUACCACGAGUCGGGCCCCUCCAUCGUCCACUGCAAAUGCUUCUAACUGUACUGCAAGCAGAUGCAUAGCAUUUGCUGCAUGGGUUAAUUCAGAAGUAUAAAUUUGCCCCUGGCAAAUGCAUACACCUCAUGCCAGCCUCACGAAACUGGAAUAAGCCUUUGAAAAGAAAUUGUCCUUGAAGCUUGUGUCUGAUACCAGCACUAGAUUGUAGAACUUGUUGCUGAUUUUGACCUUGUAUUCAAGUUAACCGUUGCCCUUCGCACUUGUUUAAUACCCUGUACAUAUCUUUGAUUUCAACCCU